rnacentral:rRNA from 1 species
GAUGGACGCUAGCUACAGGCUUAACACAUGCAAGUCGAGGGGAAACGACAUCGAAAGCUUGCUUUUGAUGGGCGUCGACCGGCGCACGGGUGAGUAACGCGUAUCCAACCUGCCCAUCACUUGGGAAUAACCUUGCGAAAGUAAGACUAAUACCCAAUGACAUCCCACGAAGACAUCUGAAUGGGAUUAAAGAUUUAUCGGUGAUGGAUGGGGAUGCGUCUGAUUAGCUUGUUGGCGGGGUAACGGCCCACCAAGGCAACGAUCAGUAGGGGUUCUGAGAGGAAGGUCCCCCACAUUGGAACUGAGACACGGUCCAAACUCCUACGGGAGGCAGCAGUGAGGAAUAUUGGUCAAUGGGCGAGAGCCUGAACCAGCCAAGUAGCGUGCAGGAGGACGGCCCUAUGGGUUGUAAACUGCUUUUAGAAGGGAAUAAAGUGGGUCUCGUGAGACUUUUUGCAUGUACCUUAUGAAUAAGGACCGGCUAAUUCCGUG